rnacentral:rRNA from 1 species
AUUGAACGCUGGCGGUAGGCCUAACACAUGCAAGUCGAACGCGAAAGUCCUUCGGGAUGAGUAGAGUGGCGGACGGGUGAGUAACGCGUAGGAAUCUAUCCUGUAGUGGGGGAGUAACGUUUCGAAAGGAACGCUAAUACCGCAUACGUCCUACGGGAGAAAGAGGGCCUCUGCUUGCACGCUCUCACUCCAGGAUGAGCCCACGUCCGAUUAGCUAGUUGGUAGGGUAAAGGCCUACCAAGGCCACGAUCGGUAGCUGGUCUGAGAGGAUGAUCAGCCACACUGGGACUGAGACACGGCCCAGACUCCUACGGGAGGCAGCAGUGGGGAAUAUUGGACAAUGGGCGCAAGCCUGAUCCAGCAAUGCCGCGUGUGUGAAGAAGGCCUGCGGGUUGUAAAGCACUUUCAGUGGGGAAGAACAGAUUCGGGUCAAUACCCCGGAGCCCUGACGUUACCCACAGAAGAAGCACCGGCUAACUCCGUGCCAGC